AUUGAACGCUGGCGGCAGGCCUAACACAUGCAAGUCGAGCGGAUGACGGGAGCUUGCUCCUUGAUUCAGCGGCGGACGGGUGAGUAAUGCCUAGGAAUCUGCCUGGUUGUGGGGGACAACGUUUCGAAAGGAACGCUAAUACCGCAUAUGUCCUACGGGAGAAAGCAGGGGACCUUCGGGCCUUGCGCUAUCAGAUGAGCCUAGGUCGGAUUAGCUAGUAGGUGAGGUAAUGGCUCACCUAGGCGACGAUCCGUAACUGGUCUGAGAGGAUGAUCAGUCACACUGGAACUGGGACACGGUCCAGACGCCUACGGGAGGCAGCAGUGGGGAAUAUUGGACAAUGGGCGAAAGCCUGAUCCAGCCAUGCCGCGUGUGUGAAGAAGGUCUUCGGAUUGUAAAGCACUUUAAGUUGGGAGGAAGGGCAGUAAGCUAAUACCUUGCUGUUUUGACGCUACCGACAGAAUAAGCACCGGCUAACUCUGUGCCAGCCGCCGCGGUAAAAC
rnacentral:rRNA from 1 species